GCUGGGUGCGGUGGCUCAUGCCUGUGAUCCCAGCACUGUGGGAGGCUGAGGCAUGAGGAUCACUUGAGCCCAGGAGUUCUUGAGGCUGCAGUGAGCUAGGAUUGCAUCACUGAACUCCAACCUGGGUGACAGAGUGAGACCUUGUCUCUA
ensembl:misc_RNA Metazoa_SRP Metazoan signal recognition particle RNA